CCUACGGGUGGCAGCAGUGAGGAAUAUUGGUCAAUGGGCUUACGCCUGAACCAGCCAAGUCGCGUGAGGGAAGACUGCCCUAUGGGUUGUAAACCGCUUUUGCCCGGGGGUAAUUCGCGCUACUUGUAGCGUUAUCGAGAGUACCUGCAGAAAAAGCAUCGGCUAACUCCGUGCCAGCAGCCGCGGUAAUACGGAGGAUGCGAGCGUUAUCCGGAUUUAUUGGGUUUAAAGGGUGCGCAGGCGGAAGAUCAAUUCAGCGGUAAAAUUGAGGGGCUCAACCUCUUCGAGCCGUUGAAACUGGUUUUCUUGAGUGCGCAAGAAGUAUGCGGAAUGCGUGGUGUAGCGGUGAAAUGCAUAGAUAUCACGCAGAACUCCGAUUGCGAAGGCAGCAUACCGGCGCUCAACUGACGCUCAUGCACGAAGGUGUGGGUAUCGAACAGGAUUAGAUACCCGUGUAGUC
rnacentral:rRNA from 1 species